GAGUGACCCUCUUUCUCUCUGAUGAUGAAGGUGACAUGGAAUUAUUCUAUUUCCCGAUAGUGCACACCUGAAAUGCAUAAUCAAAGGUCACAAAAGUGCUUCCACACGCUUUGAAUUGACAAUAUCAAUGCUUCUGCAGGAAAACAUCACCUAAAAGUGCUUCCCAAAUCAUGCUUAUCCUCAACCUGUUCACUUUCUGAAUUAACCAGAG
rnacentral:sRNA from 1 species